rnacentral:rRNA from 1 species
UGGCUGGUGUUCUAACGUAGACCCGUAAUCCGGGUUGCGGACAGUGUCUGGUGGGUAGUUUGACUGGGGCGGUCUCCUCCCAAAGAGUAACGGAGGAGCACGAAGGUUAGCUAAUCCUGGUCGGACAUCAGGAGGUUAGUGCAAUGGCAUAAGCUAGCUUGACUGCGAGAGUGACGGCUCGAGCAGGUGCGAAAGCAGGUCAUAGUGAUCCGGUGGUUCUGAAUGGAAGGGCCAUCGCUCAACGGAUAAAAGGUACUCCGGGGAUAACAGGCUGAUACCGCCCAAGAGUUCAUAUCGACGGCGGUGUUUGGCACCUCGAUGUCGGCUCAUCACAUCCUGGGGCUGAAGUAGGUCCCAAGGGUAUGGCUGUUCGCCAUUUAAAGUGGUACGCGAGCUGGGUUUAGAACGUCGUGAGACAGUUCGGUCCCUAUCUGCCGUGGGCGCUGGAGAAUUGAGGGGGGCUGCUCCUAGUACGAGAGGACCGGAGUGGACGCAUCACUGGUGUUCGGGUUGUCAUGCCAAUGGCACUGCCCGGUAGCUAAAUGCGGAAGAGAUAAGUGCUGAAAGCAUCUAAGCACGAAACUUGC